AAAACCAGAGAAGAGAUAUAGAUAUACUAGAGAAGAGAUCAAAUUCAAGAAAAACAACAAAAUUACAAGAAGAGAGGAACCCAAUCAAAACCAGAGAAUUUUGAUUUUGAUUUUGAAUUUUGGUGUUUUGAGGGUUUUUCAAGAAUCAAUAAUCAUCAUCUUCGAUCAUAAGUGAGCGGUGACCAUCAGAUCUAGAGUAUUUGGAGAGCGCCAACGAGUAGGGAUGUGAGCUGAAGCAGCAUGGCGGAGAUGGCGACGGCGGCAGAGUUGAUGGGUAAGGCGGAGAUGUCGGUGUAGUGGGACAUAGAGAACUUCCAGAUCCCCAAGGUCUGUGACACCCAUGCCAUCUCCCAGAACAUUAGUUCUGCACUCGUUAAGAUGAAGAAGAAGGGAGUGCUAGAGAUGAAGAGUCCAGGGAUGCUAGGGUUUUUUUAUUUUUUGUUUUUAAUAAUUAUUUUAAAAAAGAAAGAAAGAAAAAUAAAAUUCACAUGACAAUUUCAUUAAUUGACGUGGCAUGACCACAUCAGCUGCCACAUAAGAUGGUCAGCUAAUGUGGUCAAUUUUGUGUGUCUAAAUAGCAUUACUCUUAGAUUAAAGAAUGUAUUGGAAAAUAAUUCCAACUCGACCCAUUAUGUUGACCAUUUACUUACUCUCUACAAAACUUGAAGUUUAAAAGAAAGGUGCAAAACCCAUUUCUGUGAAGAGAAAGAGAAAUGAGUUUCACUACCCUUUUCAAUUUGCUAUGGAUGAAAAUCAUGGAAGAGACAAGCACAUUGACCUCACUUAGCUGCUUAGAGGAAAAAAAAAAAAAUUUCAUUUGCAAAUUAAUUACAGGUUCUUUUUCUUUUUCUUUUUUGUUCAGAAUUUUUCUUUUUCUUUUUCUUUUUUGAGUUUUCUUUUCUCCUUAAAAUAUAGGUGAGGGGUAGUUUAGUCAAUUUACAUACAAUUCGAUGCGUGAAAAAGAAACUGCGACCGCAUUUAAGUCGUGAGGCUCUUGCAACUGUCAUAUUUCAAAACCCUAUUUCCUAAUAGCUUUAGAAACGCCUAAAUGCUUCUCUUCUCUCCUAAUAGCUUUAGGCCCCGUUUGGGAUUGCUUUUUUUUGGCCAAAAACUUGCUUAACUUUAAAGUUAAGCAGUUUAAGGUGUUUGGUAAAAAUAAAAUAUCCUGCUUAUUUUAAAAGCAAUGGUAUUUUGACAGCCUCUCAAGGCUCAAUCUCUCUCAAUCUCUUUCACGAGGUAGAUUAUCAAUCUCGUCAAAGUUAUGGAUUAUAAUUUUCUGAGAUAUAUUUAUUCUUCAAUCUCUUCAAUCUCUUCAAUCUCUCGAAAUUUGCUGGGGUCACUAAAUAUAGCCACCAUUGAAGACCCAUAUGAUAUGCUUGGCUUAUGCACGAGUGAGUGAGGCUGGACACCUAGUGACCUUGCUGCAGCCACAUGGUUGAAUGGAAGCCCUAUUGAUGAUGUCAUCAUUGUGUGCUUUUAGAAUCAUUCAAAUUUGUUGCUGUGAGUAGAUAGAGA
rnacentral:lncRNA from 1 species